GUCCUGACAACGAGUCUCGCGAGCAGCUGAUUACUUGUAACAGACAGUAAAUCAGCGUCCGCGGUGUCUACUGUAGGAUGGAUAUAAAAGUAUAAAACACGUUUUGGUUUGACAACAUCGUUCAUAUGUGAACUAUCACAAUUAAAGCACAAAGACACCCCGAGACCUUUCACAAGUGCUACAAAAGAGAAACGCUUUCCGGAAGAGAAGUUCAUCAGGCGAGUUGGAGACUAGUCGAGUCAUCCAGUUUAGCGGAGAGCAUCAACCCCUAAUUGACAUGAGGAAAAAAUAAUUAAAAAGUGUUCAGUGUGUACCCCUCUUUGCAUCAGAGGAAGCAUUAGGAAAGAGGAGAAGAGAGAAAGUGAAAAGGCACUCAACAGAUGUUGGAAAAUGCACUGGUAACGACUAAAAAAAGACGACCAAAAAUAUAAUUCAACAGAGGAUGAUGGCUGUGGUGAAACAAGCACUCAAAUAAUGAAACUAAGACCAGUGGGAGUGCUGGAGAAAUCAAGUAUAUACGUCCUCUGUCUCCUCAGCCAUGGAAGAGAUCUUCAGACAUGAAGAGAUUGAGGAGUUAAAUGAAAUCAAAGAGCUAAAAGAAGAUUUACAAUAUUAGUGCCAAUUCAGCAUGAAAACAGAGAGAGAGCUGAGGGAAUGGAAAGAAAUGCAUGUUAUUGUGCAAGGGGUAGUUGCAUGGACUAGGAACAGAAAGCUCUGAGAUUUCAUUAUAAAGAUCUUCAUUCUUGUUCUGAAGAUGAACAAAAGACUUGCGGGUUUGGAACGUCAUGAGGGUGAGUUAUUGAUGACAGAAUUUUCAUUUUUGGGUGAACCAACCUUUUAACUUUUAACUUUUUUAUAUUGUGUAUUGACUUGGUGCCAUGAUGGAUAUUGAAAUGUUAUUUAUUUUUCAUUUUAAACAGUAUAGAUGAUUACUUAAUGGUAAUGCAAUAUUUGUGAAUACAACUGUGCACGUCAGACAAUAAAUCCCCAAAAACUAUGCUUGCUUUGGUGUUGCCACCCCUCAUAGACCCCAUGCCACCUCUUUGCCACCCUAAAAAUUAUUUUCUAGGUCCGCCCCUGCAUGAAAGUAAUCAAUAUACUGAUUAAUAUGUUGAGUUAUUCCAAUACUGGAUGUCCUAAUGUAGAAUGUAAGUGUGAGGGCCUAUCCAUUGGGCAGUACUGGUGGUUUCCAUUGGAUUGUAUCAGUGAACUUAAAUAACCUCAUGAACUUUGAGUGAUUUCCAGAGUAUGACAGGUAAACAAGUUGACCACAUUAUUGGCAGCGGAAUAAAAGUGGCCAGGUGGGAUGAUAAGAAAUUGUGGCAAACCAGAUAGGCAUAGCCAAUUAAAAACCAAAACUACCAAUUAUGGUAAGAAAGAAAGAUAUAAAAUGGAUGCGCGGACAGACAGAGAAUUAGAUGUGGCGGCUGUCAUCUCGGCUUUGUUGCUGUGGUCAAUAAAGUCUUAUUUUGACAUCUGGAACUCUGCUUCUUGAGCUUUAUUGACAAAUUUGAGAAGACCAUUGUUUGUUUCCACAACAGUAUAAUUGUAAAUGAUAUAUACACACGUGGUCAGAAUUG